rnacentral:rRNA from 1 species
CACGUAGGGACCAAGCGUUGUCCGGAUUUAUUGGGCGUAAAGCGCUCGUAGGCGGUUCGGUAAGUCGGGUGUGAAACCUCCAGGCUCAACCUGGUGACGCCACCCGAUACUGCCGUGACUUGAGUUCGGUAGGGGAGCGGGGAAUUCCUGGUGUAGCGGUGAAAUGCGCAGAUAUCAGGAGGAACACCGGUGGCGAAGGCGCCGCUCUGGGCCGAAACUGACGCUGAGGAGCGAAAGCGUGGGGAUCAAACAGG